AAGGUCUUAAGUUAAAAAAACUAAUAACCUUCAAAGCUAUAAAUAAAGAGCGUAGUCUUUAGACCUUA
rnacentral:tRNA from 1 species